GAUGAACGCUGGCGGCGUGCCUAAUACAUGCAAGUCGAGCGAACAGACGAUGAGCUUGCUCCUCUGACGUUAGCGGCGGACGGGCGAGUAACACGUGGAUAACCAACUUAUAAGACUGGGAUAACUACGGGAAGCAGGUGCCACUACCAGAUAAUACAUUCUACGGCAUGGUUCAAUAGUUAUUGACGCCUUUGCCGUCACUAUUAGAUGGAUCCGGGUCGCAUUAGCUAGUUGGUAAGGUAACGGCCUACCAAGGCAACGAUGCGUAGCCGACCUGAGAGGGUGAUCGGCCACACUGGAACUGAGACACGGUCCAGACUCCUACGGGAGGCAGCAGUAGGGAAUAUUGCGCAAUGGGCGAAAGCCUGACCGAGCCAUACCGCGUGGGUGAAGAAGGCCUUCGGGUUGUAAAACCCUUUUAUUGGGGAAGAAAAACAGUAGGAGUAACUAUGCCCGUCUUGACGGUACCUAAACAGAAAGCCACGGCUAACUACGUG
rnacentral:rRNA from 1 species